rnacentral:lncRNA from 1 species
UUUUGCUAGAGCUUUAUUAUGACAUCACAAUUGCCGACUUUUGCUAAAUAGAAGACGCAAUUUGAUUUUGUCUUCAUAUCGUCAUUACUUCCUUCAGCAGACACCAACAUCGGAUUUAUGGAUUCUCUUGUCUAUAAUCCCUCAGCAUUGAGAUAUUUCACCGACUUUUAAGAUAGUCAUGCUGGGACACCGCCUUGAGGGGUAUUUAGUCGAACGAAUUGACCGCAUUACUUUUCUCUAAAGACAGACAAAAGGCCAACAUUUUCGAGAGGAAGGGCAAUCGAUUACAUCAACCCCAGUAAUUGACUGGUACUUUACUUCAUCGACCUAAAAAGGAUGACCGUGGCAAGAUUUAAUUUCAUAACAUAAAGACUUGGAAGAAAUAAAAUCAUUUGACUGCCGCCAUGCUGGGGCACCGCCUUUAAUCG